ACUGAAUUCAUUUUCUUCUUCUCCUCUAUAUCUCUCAGGGGAAAGAGAAGACUUUUCACAUUUUCCUCUAUUUACACAAUGGCCACUCUCGUCCCUCCGGCAGCUACAGAUUUUCCGGCAGUCUCAAAGCCGACGGUGACCGAACCGGAGAAAGUCGAUUACUUCAACUUGCCUUGUCCUAUUCCUUAUGAAGAAAUCCACCGUGAAGCUUUAAUGUCUUUAAAGCCUGAGCUUUUUGAAGGGAUGCGCUUUGACUUUACCAGAGGACUUAAUCAGAGGUUUUCACUCAGUCACAGUGUUUUCAUGGGGCCCACGGAACUUCCUACUCAGUCUACAGAUGUAGUCAAAAUUCCAACUGCUCACUAUGAGUUUGGUGCCAACUUUAUAGAUCCACAGAUGAUGCUUAUUGGGAGAGUAAUGACAGAUGGUAGGGUGAAUGCUAGGGUGAAGUGUGAUUUGUCUGAGAAUCUUUCAUUGAAAGCCAAUGGUCAGCUGACUGGUGAACCACACAUGUCACAUGGCAUGGUUAAUUUUGAUUACAAGGGUAAAGACUACAGGACCCAAUUUCAACUUGGCAAUGGUGCAUUACUUGGAGCCAGCUACAUCCAGAGUGUCGGUCCACAUUUGUCUCUGGGUGGGGAAGUGUUCUGGGCUGGUCAGCAUCGGAAAUCUGGCAUUGGUUAUGCUGCUCGCUACAACACAGAUAAAAUGGUUGCUGCAGGGCAAGUUGCUAGUACUGGAAUGGUUGCACUGAGUUAUGUUCAGAAAAUUUCUGAUAAGGUGUCUCUAGCAUCAGAUUUUAUGUACAACUACAUGUCAAG
rnacentral:misc_RNA from 1 species